rnacentral:SRP_RNA from 1 species
AAGGUCAGGCCUGGGGUGGACCUCACAUGAACUCGGUCAGGUCCGGAAGGAAGCAGCCGUAAUGUAUCUUGGUACAGGUCUGGGUCUGGCCUUCUC